rnacentral:misc_RNA from 1 species
GAUGAAGAACGUAGCGAAAUGCGAUAAUUAAUGUGAAUUGCAGAAUUUAGUGAAUCAUCGAAUCUUUGAACGCACAUUGCGCCCGCCAGCACUCUGGCGGGCAUGCCUGUUCGAGCGUCAUUUCAACCAUCAAGCCCCAGGCUUGCGUUGGAGCCCUGCGGCUGCCGCAGCCUCCUAAAAGCAGUGGCGGGCUCGCUAUCACACCGAGUGCAGUAGAUUACUCUUCGCUCAGGGCGUGCAGCGGGUUCCGGCCGUGAAACCCCCUACUUUUAAAGGUUGACCUCGGAUCAGGUAGGAAUACCCGCUGAACUUAAGCAUAUCAAUAAGCGGAGGA